CGUAGGUGACAAGCGUUAUCCGGAUUUAUUGGGCGUAAAGCGCACGCAGGCGGUCUAUCAAGUCUGACGUGAAAUCUCUCGGCUUAACCGGGAGCGGUCGUUGGAAACUGAUGGACUUGAGGCGAUGAGAGGGGUGUGGAAUUCCCGGUGUAGUGGUGGAAUGCGUAGAUAUCGGGAGGAACAUCAGUGGCGAAAGCGGCACCCUGGCAUUAGCCUGACGCUCAUGUGCGAAAGCGUGGGGAGCGAACGGGAUUAGAUACCCCGGUAGUCCAUGCUGUAAACGAUGAAUACUAGGUGUGGGUAGUCUCAAAAAUUAUCCGUGCCGAAGCAAACGUGAUAAGUAUUCCGCCUGGGGAGUACGGCCGCAAGGCUAA
rnacentral:rRNA from 1 species